GACGAACGCUGGCGGCGUGCUUAACACAUGCAAGUCGAACGGAAAGGCCUCUUUCGGGGGGUACUCGAGUGGCGAACGGGUGAGUAACACGUGAGUAACCUGCCCUUGACUUUGGGAUAACUUCAGGAAACUGGGGCUAAUACCGGAUAGGAGCUCCUGCUGCAUGGUGGGGGUUGGAAAGUUUCGGCGGUUGGGGGUGGACUCGCGGCUUAUCAGCUUGUUGGUGGGGUAGUGGCUGACCAAGGCUUUGGCGGGUAGCCGGCCUGAGAGGGUGACCGGCCACAUUGGGACUGAGAUACGGCCCAGGCUCCUACGGGAGGCAGCAGUGGGGAAUAUUGCACAAUGGGUGGAGGCCUGAUGCAGCAACGCCGUGUGCGGGAUGACGGCCUUCGGGUUGUAAACCGCUUUCGCUCAUGACGAAGCUUUGUGUGACGGUAGUGGGUAAAGAAGCACCGGCUAACUACGUG
rnacentral:rRNA from 1 species